GGCUCCUUGGUCUAGAGGUAUGAUUCUCGCUUUGGGUCUAAUCAAAAUCCAGAAUCUGCGAGAGGCCCCGGGUUCGAAUCCCGGAGGAGCCC